ensembl:lncRNA
UGAGCCUACUUCGGCUCUUUGAUGGGUUGGGACCCGGUAAGCUAGCCGUGGUGAUUUAUGCAUUAAUGAUCGGGACCUAGUCAACAGAGUACUUGAACAAAGUCAGAAGUGACAAUCAUCAGUAACGCCCGCUUUAAAAGUUCAUUGGAAAGCACGUUGACGCACUAAAAUGGUGUUAAAUGAUGGAGGUCGACUGCUGUAAACGAUGAGGUUUUGUGUAGUUGAGUACUUUGCACAGUGAUUUGAACAAUUUAACUCUAAUUGAAUUGGCAAAAACUAUCCUCGCGUGUUUACUGUAACCUCAUUUAACGGACACCAUCCCACCAGGUCGGAGAAGCUCCGCCUCCUCCUCCUGCUGUGGACUAAAGACCAAUCAUUUGUAUGCAAUAGUUUUCUUUGCAUCAAUCCGUACUGUAAAAAGAUCGUAACAAACCAGAGAAGCACAAAUGUCGCUUUCUUCACUCUGUGUAAUAGAGUCCAGUGUAAUAUCUACUCUUAUUUUUAGCUCUUAGUCUUUGAUUAUUGUUUUCUCUUUACGUUCUUUGUAUUUACUGUAUAUCGCUUACUUGUUUUUAUGUGUUCUCUUCUCAGACUCUGUCUAUGCUCUAUAUAUCUAUAACGCUGCUGCAGAAUUUCCCCCUAAAGGGAUCUUCAGUUUUAUCGAACAUUAAUGACACUACUCUUGCUCGUGAGUAGCUUCCUGUUGCGUAAUCUGAACAAACGUCUGCUUGACACAUACAGGAGCCAGUUUUGUGAGGCCCAAACGAGUCAGAACUGAGCGCGAGUUCUGGACUUAUUUGGGGCCUCGAUGUUGGUUUUUUGUGGCCCCCUUUAGGCUUCACGCUCUCUCAGACACCAGCCCACUGAUCUCCUCCCUCGCUUUUCCUUUUCCUUUUCCUGUGCUUCUGUCCUGACGUUCCAAUAGCUUUAAUACUUCGCUCUCUCCUUCUGUUGCCUGCCUGGCUCUGCGCCCCACUCCCAUUGCCCUUACCGUAAACGCCGCGGAAGAUGUCUCCAAAACUAAAAUCGGCAUCGGCGCCGCCUCAUGUGCCCUGCAGUAGCCCCCCUCCCGCCCCUCCCUUCUUCCUCCCUCUGUGCCACCUUCAUUUUUCCCGAGGUGUGCCUCUGUCAGCAGAACUUCAGGCCCGAGAGUGAAUUUUGCAGCCGUGUGAGUGACGUUAGUGCAUCUUGCGUGCGUGUUUGUCAGUGAUGGGAGAGAAUUUCAAACGAACAACUUUCCUCUCUGUCCUCUGUGCACCGAUGUGGGAACUUAGAAGUCCUAGUUCAUGAACUCUGACCUUUGACCAGGCGCUCAUUUGGUCCCUUGUGGUGGUGGCGGAGACAGUGAGAGUGGGAGAAGCCCCACUAUCUACCCACAGUCAACGUUUUAUUUAUGGACCUCUGCACUUUUGGCUGUGAUGACUUCAGUACUUAAGUAGUUACCUAAACUGUAUUUUUAAGGAUUUUAUACAAUAUUUACAUGCAAUACAAUAUGAAUUGAGUUUGUUUUGUUUGCCAACCAUUUGUUUCUUAUUUAAUUGUCUUUUAUUUUGGCAUGUUGUCGCUAUUAUUCACAAACAUGCCUGUCAAAUCUGUUUUAGGCAUAAGAUGUUGGGGAUGUUCCCUGUAAAAAUUUGUUUUUUUGUUUUGUAUCAUGAUUCUGAUGACAGCUGAACACCGAGAAGCACGUGUUUGGGCGGGCGGGUGAAAAACAAAUGAAACAAAACUGCUGGAUGAGCUAAACUUUAUCACCCUCUGCUCCGAGUACAAAUAACUGGACCACAAGGAGGGACGUGAGGAGUCCGCACUUUGGUUCAGCAGAAGAAAAACGGUUUGUUUUUCUGUCGUGUCCAGUUUGGGUUUUCUGCACGUUCGUAAAUGUGCGCGCCCAAACGGAGACCGUCAUCUUCAUUUUAUUAUGUUAGGACAACUUGAGCCUGAGGAAACACAACAUAGAGAAACAAGAGUUGCAAAGUGGGAGGAGAUGCUCUGGAAGUUAAAGUGCUAUUCAUUUUUCCUGGUUUGUUAUUUUUUUAAAUGUUUGAACCCCUCUCUGGCUUGGAUCUGCAUAAAACACUGAAAACUGUCUUAAAUAUUAAUAUCUGUCUCAGAAGAUGUGCUUUAAUGAACUGCAACUUGCACCAAGCAGUAAAGAUGACAAGCCUGAGUGGUUAUCAUUAAUGUCAAAGAACAUUAUAGAAGGGAAUGGGAGAUAGAUGGGAGAAACCCCCCAGCUGUCCCUUCCCUUUGCAACUCUGUGCACAGGGCUGUGAGAGUGGAGCAUUUCAGCUGAGUCUAUAUUAUAUAUAAUAUGUGUUUAAUACAGCAAAGGUAGAUUAUCUACUGUGUGGAUCUUUAGAGGAUGAGGAAAAAGCAAAAACACACAAAAAAAACUGAGAAAAUGGUUCAUUGAUAAUGUGUGGAGAGGGGCGGGGCGGGAGGGAGGGGGCAUGUGCAGACGGGGUGUUUCCUGUGUCAGUGGUUGUCAUAAUGUGUCUGUGACAAGGGGACAGGGUUGCCUGUAUUUAUAAAGGGUUUGAUUAUUUUUCUUUUAAAGGGGCGGGGCGAGGGAGGGGGGAGGGCGGCGUCUGAAUCCCUGUACGAGGUCGAAGCGACGAAUGGCGGGAAGAACAAAUGAACUGGAUGGCUGAAGAACAAUUUGGUAUUUUUGAAAAAAACAAAAAAAGGAAAACAAACAAACUUGGCAUUACAACGCCACCAUGUGGCCGUAUGAUGCAAGUUGUUAACGAGGACGAAACAUGUUAUUUUAAUGUUAUUUUUUAUGUUGAAAUCAUAUUAUUAAUAAAGUCAUUAAGUACUGUUGUCCCCCCUCCCCGUGUGUCCGAUCCUUGACCGCUGCGUGACCCGCUGCAAGGGUUCGAGUAAAGUUCACGUGACGGUCAUCGCAGGCCGCAGGGUUAAAAGGAC